CUUUCCUCUGUGCUUGAAAAUGGGGAAUGGCCUAACCUCGGCAAGGCUUCUCCAAGAUGGCAAAAUAAACUGUGGAAGCUGCUGUUUCCAAAAUGGGUGACCAGUAUCCCAUUUCCACAUAGCACCCCCAUCCAGGAAGGUGGAACCUCUGAAAGGGUAAGAGGAAAAGCCGAAGAUUUCACAGGAAGAGCCACGGCUCCAGGGCCACCAGGAAGGCAGCUCAGGGCACGUGUGGAGGGACUGCCACCGUGAACGAAGCAGGCAGGAGCACAUCUAGGUUUUGUGGGACCUGAAUAUAUGCAUUUUGAGGAGCUUUCUUUAAGAAAAGAACAUUACAAAUAUAAAACGCCCACGGCCAAUACAACUUACCCAACAGAGGAUGUGUGAUGGGGGGAGGGCGGAAGAAGGAGGCCAUCGUCACCCACUGAGGUUAAAAAUCUCACACCGUGCCAACUCUUCGAACAGCACCUGACCUGCGGGGGCGUUCCCAGGCCACUCUGGGAAGUGGCUCCAAAGCGUCGCUUGAUUAGCAUUGCCCUGUGAUUGGAACGUCUUGGAGCUGAAGGCCAGAGGCAGACUCUUGUCUAAACACCAUCCCCUAUAAACUCCCGCAUUCGGGGCGACCUCCACCCCACACGCUGAGACGGAAUUUCCUGCCAAAUGCAGGUGGGCGUGGCAAGCCAAAUUUAUUUGAUUUAGAAAUACAAGUAAAUAUGCUACUUCUUGCAGAGAAGUGUCCUAAAACAUCUUACUUAUACCAUACUCAGGGAAUACCUUUAUUUUUAAAAGACAAUCAAGCAACAUAUCCUGAGAAAAUUACUUCUCUUCCUGAGUCUGUUUUCCCAUCUCAGACAUGAGCAUGACAAACCCAGGCCCCGGCUCAGUGUGGGAAUGAAGUGAGCUACCACACAGAAGAUCCUGGCACGGGGACCAUUGUUUCCGUGCGUCUACUGGGUCCAGGCCCUUGAGCCAGUGCGGGGAAGACAGAGGUGAUGCACCCCAGACCCUGUCCUCAGGCCCUCACGGUCGAACCUCCCUGAGGUCUACUGAAGAGGUUAGCUGUGCAAAACUGAGCUUUGCAAAGCAGGGAGGGGCCUGGCCUGGUGACUGUCAGCUCACAGACGAGAGAAGCUCACUCAGACUGAGGCCCGCAGGCCCAGGGAGGCCAGCCGGCUUUGGGAGCGGACGUGGCGAGGCGGUCAGCCGGGAGUGGGUCCGAGUGCCAGCCUGCCUUGCUGUGUCUUCUGCGGCAAAUCACUUCCCCUCUGGGAACCUGAGUUUCCACGAGGAUUUGGGGAGAAGCACUAACUGAGAGAAGUACCCAACACAGAACAGGGGCUCAGUAGUUGGAAACGUUUUCUGUUACAUCCAUCCCCACCCCGAUUGAGAAUUUGGGGUAAAAUCUGGUUCCCUGGGAAGCCAUUUCUGAAUCCUCUUUCUCUGCAAGAAGCAGACUUCCAGGUCCAAGCAGAGGGCUCGAGAGACUUCCCCCUUCUACUUAAUUCUACCGAAUUCUAUUUAAAUGAAGCAUCCUCCUUCAAGCAGGAAACUCAAACCACUUCCUCCUGCUAGAGUUCUUUGCAAUGUCCCCUUUUCUUAACAUCUGGCCAGAUGCCCAACUGCAAGGAGCCUGAAGCCUUUGGUUUGGGGACGGCUCUGUGGCACUUUUCCCUGGUUCCUGAGCUGACUCGGGCCAGCGGGUCUGGCCUGAGAAGCCCAAGUCUGCAACCCAGAGCUCCUGCCAUGGCACUCCCGAGGCUUUCUUCUCAUUAGCAUCCUCCAGUCUGCCAGGCAGCCUGCUGCCAAGAUGGCAAGCCACACUCCAGGGACUUUUGUCACUCCCAGUAUCUUGUCCCUGGAUGCCUUUCUCCACGCCACCAGCCAUGUCUUUGCUGCAGCUCAUUCUCAUGAGGACGAGGGACAUCCUGAGAUCACAGAUUGGGCACUGGACUGAGAGUGGGGAGACCUCAGCUCUGCCAGCAACACAUGCAGCUGGGAUGUCACUAAGCUCCCACUUUCUCAGGUGCAGAAUAAUGGGGGCUGACCCAGAUCGGCCCGAGGGGUCUCCUAAACAGCAGUCCACGCACCCCUCAUCCUACCACUCUUUCUGUGAAGGCCCGAGUGCCCUGUUCAUUUGAGCAAAAAGUUUAAAAUUCAGGACUCCUCUUGAAGUCCUUCUUUCACUGAGUACCAGCCGCAGACUGGGCCCUAUGUCAGGGCCUAAAGAUCUUUAAAUGAACAACAACGCCCUGCUCUGAAGGAGCUCCCAGAUGAGAAACAGGGACACGCAAAGAUGACAAGAAAGGGGCUGAUGCUAGAAAGGAGCACAGAGCCGACAGCCACUUCCCCCUUAGAGCCUCGUCCCAGAGGAGGAACCACACUGAGUCCUGAGGAUGAAGUUGGAGAGCCCUGAGUUCAGAGGAGGUGAGGGAAGGAGAGUCUAAGAAGAAGGAACGGCAUGCGCAAAGCCAGGUCAGAGGUUUGGAAUUAAUCCCACGUGGCCACUGUGCCAGGGUCAUGCCACGAGCAGCAGAAUGGUCCAGCAAAGAGGAUGGGACAUGUGCUGGAGGUCCUGGGCCUCAGCCCUCCCCAUGCAGAAGGAGACCCAUCUGUCUGAUGGCAGCUCGUGGAGGUUUCCAGGGCAAUCUGAUGAGGAGGUGCUCACCAAACCCAGGAAGCAGGAGCGACUUCCGGGCACCAGCUCCCAGCCCAGCGCCGGCCCGGGGCUCUAGGCGUUUCCCUCCAGAGUCUCCGACUGAGACUUGAAGAAAACAGUCUUAAAAGUCAGACAAAUAUUUAGAGUUUUACAAACUCAGCCUACAAAUCGGGAGGAAUUGGGAAACUCGCGUGUCAGAUGUGCGGUCUGUUCUCUACAAUCCAAAGCGGGCUUGGUUUCCGGGAGGGCGAUGACUCUCCUGCCUGCUCACUGCUACGGUGGGACCACGUCUGAAGAGGCGGUGUUUCACAUUAAGGCGACGGAAUUUAAUGAAACAAAGGAGAAAAAGUGGCAUCAAUUUGGUGUUAGGUGAGAAUCAAAAGAAAUAUAUUGCUGAAUUGACUACAGUCGUUCCAGCCUUAACUGCUGCCCAAGGGAAAAGUGACAUUUCCCAUCUCCUGGUCCCCUUCGCUGGCCCCAUAUUUUCACCCUAAUAUAUUCAUUCCGAAAAAAUCAGAGCUUGCUCAGCAAAAGGAAGAUGGAGUCCCUGUAUCUUUCAUCCCUGCCUUCCCCAUGAGAAGGGAACUGGCAUUUCCUGAGGACCUGCUCUGGGCCCGUGCUUUAUCUACACUGGACUUUCAUCUAAUGCCUAACCCUCCAAGGAGCCCACGAUUUUCUCCAAGGCUGAAGCAACCAAGGCUAGAGAGGUAUAACGUCACGUAGGGGGAAGAGGCUGAGGGAGAUUGUAGCCCUGACCUGACUCCAGCUAUGAAGGUGGAAUCGCUGAGGCCCUCUGAGAAUCUUUCCAAGACUCGGACUCUGAUCCAGAGACUUGUCCAUCUCAUGGGUUUUGGCCCAGCUAUGAAGACCCUCUGGCAAAAGGAAAACAGCACAGAUUGGCAGGCAAGUGACAGAAGUGGCCCGAGGCAAUCCUCCGCUUCAUCCUCUUGCCCCUGGAGGCAGACCAGGCUAAACACAGAAGCAGGGCUUCAAAGGAGGGGCUUGGAGCCUCCCCACAGUGACUCACUGGGCUCCAGAGGAAGCCGGGGUCUCCCGGGAUCAGCAGUCGGCCUUGAGGUGGUUCUCUGGAAGCCCUCUCCCAUGGCGAUGAGAGCAAAGAGAGGCCGUGUGGUCUCAGGGAGAGACCCCGCAUGUAGCGCAGCCUCUAAUUCUCUGCGUGACCUCGGGCGAGCUGCUUCCUCAGUUCUUACAAAGAGGGCGUUGGAGCUGUAGGGUGAGCAGCAGCUUACAGUUUGGGAAUGAGGCAGAUGGAGCCUGGAUCCCAGUCCUGCCACUUGUCAGGGAAUGUGAGCUGUCACCUUUCCACCAAGGCACUCAGCAUCUCAUAGAGAGCUCCUGGCUCUGCACUUGCAUCCUCCCCAGGGGGCAGCCUGGGUCGCUUGCCGCCUCUGGGCCUCAGCUCCCUCCUCUGUCGAGUGCACAGCAGAACACAGGCAGUGUGAACACUGGAGGUCACGGACACCAAGUGUCUGCUCCGGAGCAGGCCUUCGGGAGCUGUUAGGCCCAACUCCCCGCCCCUCCGCUAGCCUCAACUGGACCGUCGACGCAGCGCUUCAGGACGUGCCCCAGCCCAUGCCACUGCGGAGCAGGUCUGUUCCGAACCAGACCACAGCCAGAGAUGGGUCUCCAAAUCCCGCCUCCACAGCCUGACUUACCCACGACUGGCAUCGGAGGCCCACAGCCUGGAGUGGAACAGGCCUGCAUUGCACGCACACUCCACAGAGAGAUGACGUGGACAGGACAGGGCAAUUCAACACUGCCACGGCCCAGGGAACCCAGGCCUCCUCUCCUAAAGGCAGGAAUCAGAUGCACUGAGUCCAGGAAAGGGUGGCUUCCCCAGACCCAGACAAUCAAAGAAGAAACGGAAGCUUAUCAGAUGUCUCCUGCUGCUGGGCUGAGCCACACCAGUGCCUGCAGUAGGCAGUCAACGACGAAGGAAGGGCAGUGCAGACGGAGGCAGCUCCUGAACAGAGACGGGGCGGUGAGGCGAGGCCGGUGCGCUCAGAAGAGCAGUGAGCAGUUCAGCUGCCGUUAGGGCUCAGGUUGUGAGGGGCAGAGAGGGUGUGAGGGCUUCCUAACAUGUACUGAGCAUCUGAAUCUGCCCAGCUCUGUCUCUCAUUUGGUUUUACGUGACCCCCUCACCUCACAAGUUGGGUCAUUAUCCCCAUUUUACAGGUGUGGCAACUGAGGCACACGGUCUAAGUGAGAAUUGCCAGAGGUCAUGCAACUGAGUUCGAAUCUCAAACCACAUCCACCAGAGGGCAAAGCCCAGGCUUCUGCGCUCUGUGUCGUUUCUUUCAAUCCCACCAUCCCACAUUCAUACCUUCACCAAGUCUCGUUAAGCCCUGCCAUGUGUCAGGCACUGUUCUAGGCUGGGGACACAGCAGCUACCCAGACAAGGACCCUGCCCUCGAGGAGUUCCCACGCCAGUGGAGGGGCAUCUGAACAAAUGCCCGUGGUAAUUUUGGAUAAACUGAGUGCUAUGGAAAAAAUAAAAUAAUGGGAAUGAGAGUGACUACUGUGGGCAUGGAGAGGGGAGAGGGCAGGACGUGUUUCCCUCGGGUGCUUAGGGAAAGGCCCCCGGAAGAAGGGAUGUUUGAGUGAGCCCUGAAUGAUGAGAAGGUAAACACGGGGAGAUGGGGGGAGACAUCCCGCAGGCAGAAGGAAGAGCAGAGGUCCUGGGCUGGGCAGCAGCUUGUGUGUUCAAGGGUCCGAAAGAGGCCGGAGAGGCUAAAACAGAGGGAGCCACGGGCAUACACAGUAGGAGAUGAGGUCAGGAGCACGGAGAAGGGCCGGUUCACGGGGUGCAGAGACCGCAGUUAGUCCUGUGUGAAGAGGGUCUCAGGACGGAAUGUGGAGUGAGUAAACUGUCCGCAUUAGAAGGGCAGCCUCCCUGCAAGAGCCAGCCUUGCACGAAGGGAACAUCCCCACUGGGCCUCUUCCCAACUGUGUGGCUGUGGGCAAGCGCCUUCCCCCUCUGGACCUUGGCCUCCUUCCGUGUAAAGCGGAGAUUAUAACACCUGCCUCACAGACCAGGGGUGAGGAUUCGACACCGUGGACUGGCCCAUCCCCUGCCGCUGCAGAGAGUUAACGGAAAACCUCCUUGGCGACCACGGGGCAUCCAGAUGCUCUUGCAGCUGGUCACUAGAAGGACUUGGGCGAUCGACUGCUUGGCCAACAGGUCAUCCCCCGUCCACGCCGACGUGGCAGUGCUGUGCAAGCAGUCCCUCUCAGGGGCUGCCCACUGAAAAUGGCCCGGCUGCUGCUUCUGAGAGAACCGGCUUCAGACUCUGUGGCAGUCUCUGAGGGUCCCAGGAAGGACCCUGCGGCUAGAUGUGAUCCUUCUCAAACUUCGGUGUGCACGUGGGUGGCUUGAGAUCUAGUUAAAACGCAGCUUCUGAUCCAGUAGGUCUGGGGUGGGGCCUCAGAUGCUGCUUUUCAUAGAAAUUCCCAGGGGAUGCAGGUCCAAGGACCACACCUUGAGUAGCAAGGAUUAGAGCCAAGUGGCUUCCAAGGCAUAGACAAUAUUGAAUCCACUACAGAAAGAUUGCAAAGCAAUUGCCUGCUUUUAGUCAUUUGUCAUUGAAUUCAUUAAAUAAACGUUCGUAGCAUGCCUCCCGUGCCCUAGGCCCAUGCUGGGGAGUGGGAUGUCGGGGUCAGGCUUGCCCUCACAGAGCACGUCUCCUAGCAGCAGAGCCGAAUAAGCGAGUCAUCAGGAUAACCUCGGCACAGGGCGUGGGUGGGCCGGGCUAUUAGGGGAGCACAGGGCUUGAGAGGGUCAGGGAAGACCUCUGGGAUGAAGGG
rnacentral:lncRNA from 1 species